CUAGUAACGGCCGCCAGUGUGCUGGAAUUCGCCCUUCAGGCCUAACACAUGCAAGUCGAACGGAGAAUUUUAUUUCGGUAGAAUUCUUAGUGGCGAACGGGUGAGUAACGCGUAGGCAACCUACCCUUUAGACGGGGACAACAUUCCGAAAGGAGUGCUAAUACCGGAUGUGAUCAUCGUGCCGCAUGGCAGGAUGAAGAAAGAUGGCCUCUACAAGUAAGCUAUCGCUAAAGGAUGGGCCUGCGUCUGAUUAGCUAGUUGGUAGUGUAACGGACUACCAAGGCGAUGAUCAGUAGCCGGUCUGAGAGGAUGAACGGCCACAUUGGGACUGAGACACGGCCCAAACUCCUACGGGAGGCAGCAGUGGGGAAUCUUCCGCAAUGGACGAAAGUCUGACGGAGCAACGCCGCGUGAGUGAUGAAGGAUUUCGGUCUGUAAAGCUCUGUUGUUUAUGACGAACGUGCAGUGUGUGAACAAUGCAUUGCAAUGACGGUAGUAAACGAGGAAGCCACGGCUAACUACGUGCCAGCAGCCGCGGUAAUACGUAGGUGGCGAGCGUUGUCCGGAAUUAUUGGGCGUAAAGAGCAUGUAGGCGGCUUAAUAAGUCGAGCGUGAAAAUGCGGGGCUCAACCCCGUAUGGCGCUGGAAACUGUUAGGCUUGAGUGCAGGAGAGGAAAGGGGAAUUCCCAGUGUAGCGGUGAAAUGCGUAGAUAUUGGGAGGAACACCAGUGGCGAAGGCGCCUUUCUGGACUGUGUCUGACGCUGAGAUGCGAAAGCCAGGGUAGCGAACGGGAUUAGAUACCCCGGUAGUCCUGGCCGUAAACGAUGGGUACUAGGUGUAGGAGGUAUCGACCCCUUCUGUGCCGGAGUUAACGCAAUAAGUACCCCGCCUGGGGAGUACGGCCGCAAGGUUGAAACUCAAAGGAAUUGACGGGGGCCCGCACAAGCGGUGGAGUAUGGUGGUUUAAUUCGACGCAACGCGAAGAACCUUACCAAGGCUUGACAUUGAUUGAACGCUCUAGAGAUAGAGAUUUCCCUUCGGGGACAAGAAAACAGGUGGUGCAUGGCUGUCGUCAGCU
rnacentral:rRNA from 1 species